CUAAGCCCUAAACCUUUACGCUCUAAAAUUGGCACAAUCCCUUUCUAAAUUACUACUUUCAAGUUUCAAGUCCCUUUCUCUUCGUCUGUUUCAAUGUCCUGAGUCCUUAAUUCCCAUUGAAUUUGUUUAGGGCUUGUGCAGUUUGUGUGUUUCUGAAGAUGGACAUCGAGCAAAAACAGGCAGAACUAAUCGAUCACUUCGUCAAGAAAGCAUCGGCUCUUAAAGGCACGAUCCUUGACCCCGUUAUUAUUGAGGCCACUUCUCACCCGUCCCUCUUCGCGUUCUCUGAGAUUCUCGCAGUACCCAGCGUCGUUGAGCUUGGAGGAACUGAAAAUUCCGGGUACCUUGAUGUGCUUCGGUUGUUUGCACAUGGCACAUGGAC
rnacentral:misc_RNA from 1 species